ACAUAUUACAACAUCUCUGAUUACAUGACUGGCCACAGUGUCGGUGGACUCCAUUCCCCCAACAUCCAGGGUAAGUCCCCCAAUACCAGCCCUCUCCACUCUGUUGUUGAUUUGCUGGUGACCUGUUGACAUGCAGGACCCCACAGUGAGACGGUGGAGGAAGCUGAGAGUGGUAGGGCUGGAUGUGUAACCCUGGCCUGCCAAGCAGUGUGCCACAUUCUGCAGUGAUAAGGCAGAGAGCUGGGUCAGUGGGGCUGAUGUGCAGACCAUCCGUGAUCUAAUUGUUUGGUGAAGCGGGCACAGGGAACAGAAUGGCCGGCACCACUUCCCGUCAGCAGGAGUGGAUGGGCUGGAACUGGUUCCACUGGCAGGAGGUUUGGGAACCACAAUUUUAGAAUAAAUGGGAAGGAAGAACAGAUGGACAGGAGGAAAUUCUUUUGUUUUAGCUACAAGGGUUUGUUCAGAUCUGGAAGACGAUGGUUAGAGAGUGUUGGAAGCAGAUUCUUUCAUCACAUUCAGAAGGGAAUUGGAUAUUACUUGGAGAGGGGACAGCUGCAGGGUGGAGGGGGAAGUGCAGGAGGAGUGGGGUAAAGUUUAAAUUGUCGUCCCGAUGGCAGGGGCACGAUGGGCCUGUGGUCUCUGUGUGAGUCUGUGUCUGGGAACUGAUCUGGAGGGAGGUGAUCGGGGGUGGGGGUGGUGGAGAGACUUCUGAAAUUAGACAAAGGAGUGGAUACAAUGGGGACAGAUCUGCACAAGUUGCUUCACAUAACAGGAGCCAGGACUUGGAGCGAGUGGCGCGAGAGUUCAAAAGAGGUCGGUCUCAGGACUUGCUGGUGAGUUUCACUUAACAGGACUCUAAAAGAGGGACAUUUGCACAUUGUUAGUUGAUUGGCUAAUUAGCUAAUUAGCAGCAGCCAAUAAAAUGAAGUUAGGGUUAAGCCGAGUGGCUGUUGUGAUAGUGGGCCAGUGUAAGAGUGGGGAGCUGAGACCUUGGCUCAAGAGGCUUCAGCGUGAGGAGACUGAGUAAGUGGCCAAGGUACGGGGAGUGAGAGCCGCUCAUUCAAAAAGGCUGCAAUGAGAAAGCACAGGUGAGAACAGCUAAGGUUUAAUUUUGUUGUUGAUCCUUAGUCCUUAAUUCAGUGUUUGCAGGAUGGUAGUUAGGGCAAUGGAAUGCUCCUCCUGCAGGAUGUGGGAAGUCAGGGAACCUCACAGUCUCCCUGAUGAUCACAUCUGUGGACAGUGCACCCAGUGCAGCUCAUGAGAGAUCAGGUCAAGCAACUAGAGCUGGAUCUGGAGGUCCUCAGGAUCACCUGGGAAGCUGAGGGCUUCAUAGAUGAGACUUUCACUGAGGUGGUCACACCCAACAUACAGGCUUUAGAUAGAUGGUUGACCACCGGGAGAAGUCAAGGGAGUAGGCAGUCAGUGCAGUGCAAGGUCAAGGCUGCAGAAAGUUCUCGAGGGGGAGGGCAAAUGGCCAGAAGUUGUUGCACAUGUUGGUACACACGACAUAGUUAGAACAAGGGAUGAGGUCCUGCAGAAUAGGAGUUGGGUAAGAAAUUUAAAUGCAGGAUCGUGAGGAUAGUGAUCUCCUGAUUACUCCCAGUGCCAUGUGCUUGUGAGUCCAGGAAUAGAUAGAUAGGCCAGAUGAAUGUGUGGCUGAAGAGCUGGUGUAGGGAGCAGGGAUUCAGGUUCUUGGAUCAUUGGGAUCUCUUCUGGGGUAGAGGAGACCUGUGCAAGAGGGAUGGGUUGUACUUGAACUGAAGGGGGACCAAUGUCCUCGCGGGGAAAUUUGCUUUUGCCACCAGGGAGGGUUUAAACUCGAUGGGAGGUGGGAGUCGAGACAGCAAAGUCAUUGAGAAGACAGGGGUACAUGCAGCAACCAAAGAAUGUAAGCCUUGCAAUCAGGAUAGCCGUGCUUACAGUAGAAGGGCAGAUAGAGGCAAUUCAAAGCAGUGGUCCUAUUUCAGUGCACGGAGCUGAAUUUGUAAGGGGGACAAACUGAGGGCACGUUGGGCCCAAUGACCACAAUUCUAUUAGUUUUAAAAUCGUUAUGGAAAAGGAUAGAACAGGUCCACAGGUUAAAGUCCUGAACUGGAGCAGGGCCAACUUUGAGGCAGGAUCUAGCUGGGGUUGACUGUGUGACUGUAUUUAAAGGCAAAGGAAUAGUUGGCAAGUGGGAGGCUUUUAAAAGGGUCUUAUCAAGAGUCCAGGGGCAGCAUGUUCCUGACACGGUGAAGGGUAAACAUACCAAGUUCAGGGAACCCUGGCUGACAAGAGAUAUCGAGACUCUGGUCAGGAAAAGGAAUGAAGCUUAUAUCACGUUUAGGCAGCUGGGUACAAAUGAAACCCUCGACGAAUAUAAAAAGUUUAAGCCAAGGCUUAAGAGGGAAGUCAGGAGGGCAAAAAGAGGGUAUGAGAUGGAUUUGGCAGGUAGGGUUGAAGAUAAUCUCAAGAGGUUCUUCAGUUAUAUUAACAGUAAAAGGUUGACUAGGGAGAGACUAGGUCCUCUAAAGACCAUCAGGGCCGCUUAUGUGUGGAGCUACAGGAGGGCUGAUUUUUUUAAUGUCUACUUCUCUGUGUUUACAAAGGAGAAUAUCAUGGAUGCCAGAGAAAUGAGGGUAAUAAGCAGUGAGGUCUUGGAUCAUGUGCAUAUUACGAGGAAGGAGGUACUUGCAGCCUUGAAGUGCAUUUAGGUGGGCAAAUCCCCAGCGCCUGACCAAGUCCACCCCCGGACCUUAUGGGAGGCCAGGGUAGAAAUCGCGGAGGCGUUAGCCACAAGCAGAGUUCCAGAAGACUGGAGGGUGGCUAAUUUUGUUCCAUUGUUCAAGAAGGGUGAGCCUGACUUCAGUUGGUGGGAAGUUACAGGGGGGAGUUCUGAGGGACAAGAUCUACCCAUCACUUAGGUAGUCAAUGCCUGAUCAGGAAUAGUCAGCAAGGUUUGUGCCUGGGAGGCCAUGUCUGACAUAUCUUUUGGAGUUUUUCAACAAGUUAAUUAAGGGGACAGAUGAAGUUAGGGCAGUGGACGUUGCCUAUAUGGAUUUUAGUAAGGCCUUUGACAAGGUCCCACAUGGCAGGCUCAUCUCGAAGGUCGCAUGGGAUUCAGGGGGAGCCAGUGAGGUGGAUUUAAAAUUGGCUCAGUGAUAGGAAGCAGAGGGUGAUGGUUGAAGGUUGAUUCUCUGACUGGAGGCCUGUGACUACUGGGGUGCCUCAGGGGUCGGUGUUGGGACCUCUGUUAUUUAUUAUUUAUGUAAAUGAUUUGGAUAUCAGUGCACGUGGCAGGAUUAACAAGUUUGCUGAUGAUACUAAAUAAGGAGGUCUUGUUGAUAGUGGAGCAGGUUACAAUGAAUUGCAAAGAGAUCUUGAUCAGUUUGGGAGAUGGGUUGAGGAAUGGCAAAUGGAUUUCAACUUAGACAAGUGUGAGGUGAUGCAUUUUGGAGAGUCAAACCAGGGUGGGACUUGUACAGAGAAUGGCAAGGCACUGAUGAAUGUUGUGGAAGAGAGGGACCUGGGGGUACAAGUGGACAGUUUGCUGAAAACAGCCAUGCAAGCAUGGAGGGUGGUGAAGAAGGUGUUUAGCAUGUUGGCCUUUAUCAGUCAGGGCACUGAGUUCAGGAGUAGGGACAUUAUGUUGCAGUUAUACAAAUCGUUGGUGAGGCCGCACUUGGAGUAUUGAGUACAGUUUUGGUCACCCUGUUACAAGAAAGAUUUUGUCAAGCUGGAAAGGGUGUCAAAGAGAUUUACGAGGAUGCUACCUGGAUAGAGGGCCUGAGUUAUAGGGAGAGGUUGGCCACGCUGGAUCGUUAUUCCCUGGAGCGUAGGAGAAUGAGGGUUGACCUCGUUAAAGUUUAUAAAAUCAUGAGGGGUAUGGAUAAGGUGGAAGGUCAUAGUCUUUUCCCCAGGGUUGGGGAGUCCAUAACUGGAGGGAACAGAUACAAGAUAACAGCAGAGAGAUUUCAAAGAGACCUGAGAGGUAACUUCUUUACACACAGGGUAGCGAGUACCUGGAAUGAACUGCUAGAAGAAGUGGUCGAGGCAGGUACCAUUACAACACUUCAGAUGCAUUUGUAUAGGUAAAUGGAGGAGAGGGGCUUGGAGGGUUAUGGGGCGAACACGGGCACUGGGAUUAGCAGGAAGGAUGUUGUGGUAUGCAUGGACCAGUUGGGCUGAAGGGCCUGUUUCCGUGCUGUAUUACUCGAUGACUCUAAGAUGAAGUUACCCCCAUUAUCGACUUCCACACAGUUUCUCACUGCCUUUUUUUGUGAGCAGGAAUAGAAUAAAUGAGCAAGAGUUCAGUGGUGACGUUGGUUAGAACACUGAAGUAAAACUGGUGUGGAUACCUGUACCUUGUCUCCAGCACCACGUGUGAUAUAGUGGUGUCUGAAAUCCAACUGAACUGACCACACGAUGCAGCUGACACUGCAUCACACGUUUAACGUGUGUAACUGAGGAAGAAUUUCAACCCCACAGAGCCUGUGUAAGUUACAGGCCAACCAGGAGGGAAUGGUAACGUGGGUAAGAAUGGACAGCAGAACUGUGGAAAUACAGGAGACCAGACUAUGUGGGAAAGUGUCGGCUGACACAACUGACAGUAAGGAUGAGAUUCCUGAGCAGAUGCAGAAAUCUCAAAAUGCAGUUAGAUGUAGAUGAUAUUUUCACUGACUGACCAGCCCAGAGAGUCCAGUGAGGAAAUGCAGGUUAUGGCAAUUUCCAACCACUGAAGGUGCAAAAUCCACUUGAAAGAGCUGAUUCUCAAUUUGUUUCACUGGAAAUGAAGGACUGUUGACUUAGUCGGCAAGUAUUGAGUUUAAUUAAAUGAUUGCAGAUAUUCCUAAGUGUUUAUAGGUGCUUUAGUUUCAAUAUUUUUUUAUCUUAAUAGUCUUGAAUAGUUUUUGAAUGCUCAGUAUAUUGACAGCUUGGACAGGUGGAUAAAUCGGGGAUGUGGUUUCACCAGUUGUCAGAAUUACCUUGAGCAGUGUUGUGGGCGUGGCUUGUUCUGGCCCACUGAUGUGAUGUCAUUUACCUUGUGAUAGACUCUGCCGAUGGCAACUUGUUGAUCAUGGAUGAGGUUAAAUCACCCAAUCAGAAUGUGUGGACAGACAAGAACAUGCAGGGACCCUGGGAGCAGGAGACUGGCAGGAAAGUAGACAUCAGACAGUUUGAAUUGUAGCAGGUGAGGGCUCUGUUGUCCAACAGCAGACACAGACACAGACACAUUCUGCUAUUGGAAGGGCAGCAAACUCAAAAUUUGGAGAAAAAAGUGGUAGGAAGGUCAGGAUUUCAAUCAGGGGUAAAAUAAAAUAAUGAAAUAUUUACUUCACAAUAACUUCCAUGGGAGGAAGGAGAUAAAAUGUUGAAACCUUGGUUUCAAAUAGAAGAUAUAAAACAAACAAAUAGCAAUGGGCAUGAUUUAACUGGUCAAUAAUUACAGCUACAUGUUUAAGAACCUUUUCCAGGUGACACUGUCAGGAUUGUUAACUCAGAACGUUUGUAUUCCUGAGUAAACACAGGUGAUUCAGGCUGACAGAAGGUCAGGCAGAGCAGAGAAAUUGUCCCUUUCUAAUUCCUUUCAGACUGUGCCUGAAACAACCAGUGAAAUGCUGAUCUCAGACUGCCCGUUGGGGAGACAACUUCUGUCAAACGGCGGGACAAGACGACCUGCACUGUGGGUGACGUUUCACAGAACAGGAAGCACAGGGCAUGGUGCCAGAAGGACCACAUCCACACACUGGGCUGAAUGGUGCUGGUUCUAACCUGCUGCUGGGACUCUCUCCACGCUGCUGCAUAGGGAAUGGUGGGACCUCACUGGGCUUCUGGAUACCAGAGUCCUGCGGUGAGGUGUAUUGAGGCCUCAGCAUUGAGUAGCCUCAGGCAGCACACUGCUGGGUCUCUGGGCUCAGAACACCCUGACACAAGAUGUUCCCUGAGCUGCUGAGUGUUUCCAGUGCAGGAGGCACAUUAGUGUCAGUUGGUGAGAUUUCCAGGGACCAGCAGGUGGUUCACGUUCACCAAACCGAAUGGGACAGAAGAAAUCGAAACUAAUGGGCAAAAGAUCCACAGAGAGCAAGACCCUCUUCUCAUUUCAGAACAUUUACCAUGUGUAAGAAACAGGCUCACAGUGAUGAUUGUUGCUGAUCGAUUGAUUAUGUAGUGAGAAUGAGCAGUGCAGAUGUAAGUACACCUGCAUUUUAGGUUCUGAAGCAGUUGGGAGACUCCCACCAGCAACUUAUUGUCUGUUUGCUCAAACUGAUCACAGAAGUCCACCCUGAUGACUGUAGUUAAGGUGAUCAGAUAGUUGGAAAUUGGCAGCAUUAAAGCAGAAAAUAAGGACAAACAAAAAGGCGCCACGGGCUGCUUUGUCAACAUUACAAAAGGCUGUGGGCAGAAACCCUGUAUUUAUUGAUCAUUGGGAUCUCUUCUGGAGAAGGUACGACCUGUACAAAAGGGACGGGUUACACCGGAACUGGAGGGGGAUCCAAUAUUCUCGCGAGCAGGUUUGCUAGAUCUGUUGGGGAGGGUUUAAACUAGUCUGGCAGGGGGAUGGGACCUAGAGUGAUAGGUCAGAGGUUGGUACAUUUAGUGUACAAGUAGAUACAGGGUGUAGAAAUACUGUGAGGAAGGAUGGACAUUUGAAAGGGCAAAAUUGCAGUCAGUUGGAUGGGUUGAAGUGUGUCUACUUUAAUGCGAGAAGUGUCAGAAACAAGGCUGAUGAACUUAGAACAUGGGUAAGUACGUGGAACUAUGACGUGGUGGCCAUUACAGAGACUUGGCUGUCGCAAGGGCAGGAAUGGCUGCUGGAUAUUCUGGGGUUUAGAUGUUUCAAAAGGGACAGGGAUGGAGGGAAAAGAGAUGGGGGAGUGGCUUUGGUGAUCAAGGACAGUGUGACAGCUGUAGAAAGGGAGCAUGUCCUGGAGGGAUUGUCUACUGAAUCAGUAUAGUUGGAAGUCAGAAACAGGAAGGGAGUGAUCACUCUAUUGGAAGUAUUCUACAGACCCCCCAAUAGCAGCAGAGACACUGAGGAGCAGAUUGGGAGGCAGAUUUUGAAGAGGUGCAAAAAUAACAGGGUUGUUGUCAUGGCUGAUUUCAACUUCCCAAAUAUUGAUUGGUACCUCCUUGGUGUGAAGAGGAUAGAUGGGCUGGAGUUUGUUACGUGUGUCCAGGAAGGAUUCCUGACACAGUAUGUGGACAGGCCGACUAGAGGAGAGGCCAUUCUGGACCUGGUACUAGGCAAUAAGCCUGAUCAGGUUUCAGAUCUCUCAGUGGGCGAGGAUUUCGGAGACAGUGACCAUAACUCCUUAGCCUUUACCAUAGCCUUGGAGAGGGAUAGGAGCAAACGAUAUGGGAAAGUACAUAACUGGGGAGGGGGAAAUUAUGAUGCCAUUAGGCAGGAACUCGGGAGCGUAAAUUGGGAACAGAUGUUCUUGGGAAGUGCACAGUGGAAAUGUGGAGGUUGUUUAGGGAGUACUUGCAUAGGGGUUCUGGAUAGGUUUGUCCCAUUGAGGCAGGGUAAGGAUGGUAGAGUGAAGGAACAGUGGUUGACAAGAGAUGUAGAAUAUCUUGUCAAGAGAAAGAAAGAAGCUUACCUGAGGUUUAGAAAUCAUGGAUUAGAUAGGGCUCUGGAGAGUUGCAAGGUAACCAGGAGGGAGCUUAAGAAUGGACCAGAGAGGCAGAAGGGGGCAUGAGAAGUCCUUGGUGAGUAGGAUCGAGGCAAACCCCAAGGGGUUCAACACGUAUGUGAAGAAUACGAGGAUGACUAGAGUGAGGGUAGGACUGAUCAGGGAUAAGAGAGGAAACGUGCCACAGGAGUAGUGCCAGAUGUUUGGAGGGUGGCAAAUGUUGUUCCUUUGUUUAAAAAAGGGAGUAGGGAUAACCCUGGGAAUUACAGGCCAGUGAGUCUUACUUUAGUGGUGUGCAAAUUACAAGAGAAGAUUCGUAGAGACAGGAUUUAUGGGCAUUUGGAGAAACAUAGGUUGAUUAGGAACUGUCAGCAUGGUUUUGUGAGGGGCAGGUUGCGCCUCACGAGCCUGAUUGAAUUCUUUGAGGACGUGACAAAGCACUUUGAUGAAGGUAGAGCAGUGUAUGUGGUGUACAUGGAUUUUAGUAAGACGUUUGAUAAGGUUCCUCAUGGAAGGAUCAUCCACAAAGUCAGGAGGCAUGGGAUCCAGGGACACUUGGCUGUGUGGAUUUAGAAUUGUUUCGCUCAUAGAAGACAGAGGGUGAUGGUAGAUGGAGCAUAUUCUGCCUGGAGUUUGUGACCAGUGGUGUUCUGCAAGGAUCUGUUCUGUGACACCUGCUCUUUGUGAUUUUAUAUAAAUGACUUGGAUGAGUAUGUGGCAGUGUGGGUUAAUAAGUUUGCUGAUGAUACAAAGGUUGGUGGUGUUGUGGAUAGCGUUGAAAGUUGCUGUAGGUUAUGACAGGCCAUUGAUAGGAUGCAAACCUUUGGCUGAGAAGUGGCAGAUUGAGUUCAACCCAGAAAAGUGUGGAGUGAUACACUUUGGGAGAUUGAAUUUGAAGGCAGAAUACAAGGUUAAUGGCAGGACUUUUAGCAGUGUGGAGGAACAGAGGGAUCUUGGGGUCCACGUCCAUAGAUCCCUCAAGGUAGCUGCACAGGUCAAUAGGGUUGUUAAGAAGGCAUAUGGUGUGUUGGCCUUCAUUAGUCAGGGUAUUGAGUUCAAGAGCUGCAAGGUAAUGUUGUAGCUCUACAGAACUCUGGUUAGACCACACUUGGAGUAUUGUGUUCAGUUCUGGAUGCCUCAUUAUAGGAAGGAUGUGGAAGCUCUAAAGAAGGUGCAGAGGAGAUUUACCAGGAUGCUGACAGCCAGAGACUUUUUCCCAGGGUGAAAAUGGCUAACAUGAGGGGGCAUAAUUUUAAGGUGAUUGGAGGAAGAUAUAAGGGGGCUGUCAGAAGUAAGUUUCUUCCACAGCGAGUGGUGGGUGUGUGGAACGACUGCCAGCAGGGGUUGUGGGGGCAGAUACAUUAGGGACAUUUAAGAGACUCUUAGAUAGCCACAUGAAUGAUAGAGAAAUGGAGGGCUCUGUGGGAGGGAAGGGUUCGAUUGAUCGUAGAGCAGGAUAAAAUGUUGGCACAACAUCGUGGGUCGAAGGGCCUGUACUGUGAUGGAAUGUUCUAUAUUCAAUGAAUCUUAUUGAAACCUACUGAAUAUUGAAAGGCCUGGAGAGAGUGGAUGUGGAGAGGAUGUUUCCAGUAGUGGGAGAUUCUAGGACCAGAGGGCACCGCCUCAGAAUAAAAAGAUGUCCCUUUUGAACAGAGAUGAGAAGGAAUUUCUUCAGCCAGAAGGUGGUGAAUCUGUGGAACACAUUGCCACAGAUGGCUGUGGAGGCCAAGUCAUGGGCAUAUUUGAAGUGGAAGUUGAUAGCUUCCUGAUUGGUCAGGGCGUCAAAGGUUACGAGGAGAAUGGGGUUGAGAGGGAAAAAUAAAUCAGCCAUAAUCAAAUUCUGCUCUUGUGUGUCAUGGUCAAUAAUCUGUUAUCCAAGGGUGGUGACGUGUAAAAGGUUAUGGCUGUCAUGUGACUGUGACAACACUGACCCCUCUGGCUGGGAUGACACCACUGAGCACAUGGCCAAAAGCGACACCACCGUCAAUCAAGGUUUGGCUCCACCCCAUUAGGUAAACACCUGUGUCCUCGCUGGACCACCCAGCCCCCCAGCAGUAUAAAGUGCUGCAUCUUUGGUUCUCUCUCUCCCCGAGGAUGUUGAGAUAGGUUGUGCACUACUUCAGGGCAGUUACUUAAGGACUCCCGAGACCAAAGAGCCAAUGUUUGUCCAGAAUCACGGUGUUCAAACAUUAUGUUGUUUAUUCCUUGAUCAUUUGUAACCAGUUAUUGUGUGUGUGUGCGUGCGCGUGCACGUACCUCACCCCGUUGCUAUUCCCUUCACAUUCAUGAUCUCCUGGUUGAGAGUGUGCAUUUAUUCCUUUCCAUUCUGCUCUUGUGUCUGUCUUUCUACUUCAAAAAGGAGAAUUUUUAUUUACAAAGACUGUGUCCAGAUCUCUAUCUUUAAGAUCCUAAAGAAUCUUUCUCACAACAGGUGGAUGAAAGGUUGUCAGCUGAUGAGGUCUGCAAGUAUGGACAUCUGCUAAACUUUUCUUUCUGGCAUCUAGACAGUAAAAUGCAUCUAAUUUUAUUCCUGGAACAGCCUUGUAUCAGUACCUUGCUUUAUGAUUUUUGGGCUCACCUUGAAUAAAAUUGUCACUUGAAAUGCAGCUGAGUUUCUUUCAAUUCUGGGAAGGAGAGAUGGAUAGAUCUCUCAGAAUCUGCAACGAACUGUCCCGAGUCAGGUACUGGGAUGGUACUGACUUGUUAUUUGGUGAAAACAGAUAGGCUGGGAAACUCAACAUGAACUCAGUUACACUGUAGGAUUGGUCACAGAGACAAGGGUAUAUUUCACAUUUGCUCAAUUAAAUUUAUAUACCCAGGAUCCUAUACUUUCCUGAUUUUUGCCAUGAAUUGAUUCUGAACCAAUUCCUGAGUUUCCUCUCACCCUGCUCCAUAAGGGAGUCCAGUCCUACUGUCAAUUACUGUUUGAGGAGCUUCCUCACCAAACUCUACAGAUUCAUUGUAAAUAAUUUAAACCUGUAAUAGUGUCUUUCACUUCCUUUUUAAUUUGAAUCCAUAUUACAGACAUCAUUUCCCUGCC